UAAUGUUGGUGAUGAGGAUCUAAUGGAUCUCUUUAGAGAUUGCUAGGACUCCUUUUCAUUGUCGACUCAUCUUGGAUUCAUGUCUCUUAACUUUUGGGUAUCUCAAAUCUUUAGUGAUUGGCUCAUGAAAAACUAUAAUGCAAGGCAUGACCUUCUAUCUUUGGUUGGUAUCUGGUAGGUAUGGAGGUGGAGAAAUAAUUUCAUUCUAGGCGAUUCCUCUUGGACUGUAAAUUUUGUGGCUCGCUUUAUGCACCAGGAUCUGUGGGAGUGGCAUAACUAUGGGUGUUCCCUGUCAUUCGAGGGGACUCUCCCGUUGACCCGUUGGAGUCACCCGGUUUGGGGUAGGUCAAGCUGAAUAUUAAUAGUAGUUGCAUCAGAAACUCAUGUAUUAUGGGAGGAGGUGGUGUCCUUUGUGACAAUUUAAGAAAUUGGUCGUCUGGUUUUUCUGCAAACUUUGAUGUUGGGUCACCUAUUUUAGUGGAGCUUUUGGCCAUGGAGCAGGAGUUGUCUUUGGCUUAGAGCCUUGGUUUCAGGAGUGUGACUCUAGAGAGUGACUGCCUCGAAGCUGUUCAAAUUAUUUCUGAGCAAACUCAGAUUAGGGGAUUGCUCACAUUUUAGUUGUGGUUAACAGUGUUAGAUCCUGGUUAGCUCAUCCUUGGGUCAUCACAAUAUCUUUUGUGUGUAGAGAGACUAAUAUGGUGGCUGACUUUAUGGCGAGGCAAGACUCUCACUCAUUGGCUGAGUUAAGUUCUGGGACUCCCCCAGCUGAUUGUCAACCUUUAUUGUUUCUUGAUCUCAAUUUGUAUCCUUAGUUUUGUUUCUUAUAUUCCAAUGUACCAAAAAAUCCAAAAGAAACGACAAGAAGCAAAAUCAUUGUAUUUAUAAAUAAAAGAGAGAUCGAUUACUUAACCCA
rnacentral:lncRNA from 1 species